UUAAAUUGAAGAGUUUGAUCAUGGCUCAGAUUGAACGCUGGCGGCAGGCCUAACACAUGCAAGUCGAACGGUAACAGGGAACAGCUUACUGUUU
rnacentral:rRNA from 1 species